GUCUUUCCAAACCAAAACUAACGCCCGUUUCUUUCGCAUGGGCUCGUAGUCUCGGCAGUGGUGGUUGCGCGGUGCCGGAGGAGUGAUGGUAUGCGGUGGGGGCGAUGGGGGUGAAGCGCGGCGAGCGGGGUGGUGCCGGCCGGCCGGGCGCGCGCGCGGUGACAGAAGAGAGUGAGCACACGGCCGGGCGGGACGGCACCCGCCGGAUGGUGCCGUCACGGCCGCGUGCUCACUGCUCUAUCUGUCACCAGCUGCUUCUUCGGGUUUCCGUCGACCCCCGGUCGGCCCUCCUCCGCCGUUCGUGCCCAGCCCCCUCGCUCUCACUGCAUGCCCAGCGCGCGGACACACGGUUUCCAGCACCAGCAGUACAAUUUUCUUUCACAUCUCACAGGCGAAUGAAUUAGCGAUACUGUUUAGUUUCACUUUCAUCCCCAUUAUCGAUCCGUCUAGUAUGAUAUCUUGAAAUUAUAAUCCAUAUGCGCGUGAUUUUUGGGUCAUUUUUCAUGAACUGUUUGAUUCGAGUAGGUAGGUAGCGCCUGUACUAGCUGAUGGUUUUCCCUCCCAUGCUUGUACGACGCCGUUCGUUCAUCUUUCCCGAGGAGCCUGCCCUAUUCCACCUUUUCUGCUCCCCUUUCUUGGGAAGGAAAUGCAUAUUCAUUGCGCCAUUGAUGGAUCUCGGAGCACGAGCAUCGAUCACGACGCAGGAAUCUACUCCUCCUCCAAGGACAGGUACAGUUAACAAACAGUUCAACGAAGCACACCAGCCCAGAAUUCACAUGCAAACUGGCUCAGUCAGACAGGAGCUCUAGCAUGGGUUUAAUUUUAUCUGACGGUGGAUGGAUAGCACACCACGGCCGCACAGAUCUGCUGCUCCUGCCAUUUCCCACUACCAUCAGGUCAGUACUUAACUUGUGCUGUCUCCUGUCCUUUCUGUUAUUCAGAAUUACUAUUGCACAUCGCUAGCUGGGUGGUAUUCAAAGUAUGAGUAAUGGUGCAACGAUACGUUGUCCCCUAGCUGUGGCUCCACAAAUGUAGGAUAUCCUGUUGGGCUACUGUUCCAUUGAUGGCUCUCGUACAUACACGCUAUCGUCACAAUCCUCGCCCCACCUUGCAUGUUUGACCCGAGCAGUGGAAGAAAUUUCAACAGAGACUGUUCCCAGUGUAUCAUAUAAUCUCGCAGAGCGAGAGAGAGUUGCACCUGCAAAAUAAUGCUUUUUUUUUGGGAGAGACUGAAGUUUUGGGUCUAAAAGAUUUAAUAAGAUUAAAUAGCUAGGGGAGUUGGCUGCUUCUAGCACUUGAUCUGCUUGCAAAUUAAGUUAUUAUGUUAUUGUUUCAUCUGUUGGUAAACGUUAAUUAUAGGUGUGGAGAAGUUUCCUGUGCAAAUCCAUGGAUAGCACACACAAACUCACCAGGUACCAGCUGGUUUUUCAUACUCCGAUAGCUCAUUUCUAGGUUGAAAUGCCGAAGCCCCCAUUUCAAAAUAUAAGACUCAUUAGACAAGGUUUUGACCAAUAAUUAUUUCAUUAAUAUGCAAUUAUUGGUGUGAUACUCAUUUCGAAAAUUAUGUCCAUAAGUAAAUACUCCAUCUUAUAUUUCUUUACAGAGGGAGUCUACUUUUUGAAAACGGAUCUAGUGACAUUAGAUUCAUGUCAAAUAAACCAAGUAUACAUUAACAAAGCAGUUUUUGUGUGUGUGUGUGUGUGUGUGUGUCUGUGUCAAAGCCUCCUCAUAACGAAACAACAAUAUGAUUUAUAUUUUGAAAUGGAGAUUGUAAUCAGCACAACUGUUCAUUGUUUCUUUCAAAAAGAAGAGUCAGAUUUAGUAUGAUGAGUAUCUAAGUUUGAUCUAACUAAGUUGCAAUAUUUCAUGCUUGUUUAUGUGGCUAGAAAGUGUGGGUCUUUAAACUGCUGCCCUACAUGCAUAUCUAAUUACUAUAUGAUGAAAGUUUUCUAAAAACAUGCUCCGCGCCAGUAUUAUAUUUAUCAUUUUGCAUUAAAUAUGCAACUGCACUUAGUAUAUCCAUCUGCCUGGAAAAUUUUGUAAGUAGCUAGAUCACACCUUACAUAUGCAAAAUCUGAGAUCCUCUGCAGGUUGGUGUCCUCCAUUAGUCUUUUGUUAUCAUCAAAUUAUCAUUGGCCCAUGAAUCUUGCAUGCAUGCAUGGGAGGGGUACUGGUCUAUAUAUAACUUUUUCCACGGCAUUCGUCUCUUACCCUGAUUAUUUGUUACUUCAUUAUUUUGUUUAGAAGCAUGUAAAUACGAGCACUUUGCUGCAUCUCUAGUGAAGUAAUCCACCACUGUCAACUGUAUUGUAAUAAGUUAAUAGUGCCCUAUUUUAAUUAUAAAAUUCAACCUUAGAAUAUACACUAGGGUCAUAAGAUAAACUUCCACAGUGAUUUUGAUCCCCCACCGUAUUGCUCACCAUCAAUUAGUAUAUGAUAAUGCGCAGAAAUUUCUUUUACCCCAAAGUGUGUUAUAAACUCUAGUUUGAUGAAAUGCAUGAGCUUAGCUGGGGCAAUUGAGGGUUACAUAUUAAAUAAGAAAACUAGGGGAAUUACAUACUACCUCUCUCUCAGUUUACAGGGCAUGCGCGUACACCUAGGUCGUUAAUUUGACCAACCUAAUACAAGUCAUAUAUUACAAAAAAUAUACCAACAUAAACUUCGGAGUUUCUACUUUUAAAAGGUAUAAUUUUUGUGUUAUAUAGUUUAUAUUAGGGUGGUAAAAUUGACAAUCUAGGUAUACGCGCAGGACUUGUAAACUGAAACGGAGGUACUACCUCCGUCUAGGUGAAUAAGUCACUCGCGUAGUUCUAGGUCAUCGAUUUGAGGAAUUAAAUAUGUGUUAUAUGUCAUGAAAAGUAUAUCACUAAAUUUCUACAUGAACGUAGUUUCUAAAUAUAUAUAUAUUUUGUCACAUAUAAUGCAGAUUUAGAUAGUUAAAUCGUCAACCUAGAACUACGCGAAUGACUUAUUCACCGAGACGGAGGUAGUAGUAUAUUUGACUUAAAAGGUGACUGGAAGCUCAAACCAAUGACAACACUACAUCCUCGUGCAUCGCCACUAGGUUGUAUUGGUGUCUCUGCAUGGUUAAUACUUACUGCUAGUCUGCAGUUGUUGUACCCAUGUAUGGAGUCUAUUUAUGCGAAGUCCAGUUUUGCAGUAUGGCUUCAAUAAAUAUGCUUCCACUUAACUACUAUUUGUACCCACGUUCCAAAGUUGAUAUUGAUGAGAGCAUUUGAAAAGCCACCACUCCUCAUUUUUAACCUUUUUUGCAGGUGCAUUUUUAACAAAUUACUGUGCUAAGCUAUACAUAUAACAGCUCUGUUCAUCUUUAGAGCCUCUUAUUAUCGCAUUGUGUUAACCUGUGGGAUUUAACAUAUUGCUUGAGGAUUUGUUAGAUAAAAUGACUUUUACAUAAAAGAAUUAAUACUGCUAGCUUUUAUAUAUUUUCUCGGUAGUGGCACAUGAUGUAUAUUGUACGCUAGGUGCAUGCAGGAAUAAGCUGUGUUGGAUACACCCAUACAUGUGAUCACAGAAAGGAAUCAAGGGCAUCGUCUUGUUAGCAGUUUACAAUUUGAAGCAAAUCUGUAGGAGACAAUAAACUCCUACACGUACAUGUUGAUAAAAGUGAAGUAUUCAAGUACAAUAAAGGCUAGCUGCACAUCAAGUUAGACACAUAUAAUUCAUAUGUCAAGUAGUUAUCAAACUUUAUGAUUUAAUCAACAUGAAUGUAUGUAUAUACAUAUAGGAUUUAAAAAUGGAAAAUGGAAAUUCAAGUAGUGCAUGAUUUUUUUUCUUUACACUUUUUUUGCGUGCUUCAUACAUAUGUGCAUAGCCUUAAUUAGCUCUGUGUGGACACAGUGACAUGUUCUAGCCAAGUAGGGGAUUUUGGCAUCUACUUUUGUUUGAAUGAAAUGGUUGCAUGUAUUCUCCAUGCUCAGUCAUGUGAUCAGAAAUAAACCUUUCCUCAUGAAGAGAUAAUAU